rnacentral:rRNA from 1 species
UACGAAGGGGGCUAGCGUUGUUCGGAAUUACUGGGCGUAAAGCGCGCGCAGGCGGUCUUCCAAGUCAGUGGUGAAAGCCCGGAGCUCAACUCCGGAACUGCCAUUGAAACUGUGAGACUAGAGUACGAGAGAGGUGAGUGGAAUUCCCAGUGUAGAGGUGAAAUUCGUAGAGAUGUGGAGGAACACCAGUGGCGAAGGCGACUCUUUGGCCUGUAACUGACGCUGAGGCGCGAAAGCGUGGGGAGCAAACAGG